rnacentral:rRNA from 1 species
CUUCCGUAGGGUGACCUGCGGAAGGAUCAUUACCGAGUUUUCGAGCUCCGGCUCGACUCUCCCACCCUUUGUGAACGUACCUCUGUUGCUUUGGCGGCUCCGGCCGCCAAAGGACCUUCAAACUCCAGUCAGUAAACGCAGACGUCUGAUAAACAAGUUAAUAAACUAAAACUUUCAACAACGGAUCUCUUGGUUCUGGCAUCGAUGAAGAACGCAGCGAAAUGCGAUAAGUAAUGUGAAUUGCAGAAUUCAGUGAAUCAUCGAAUCUUUGAACGCACAUUGCGCCCCUUGGUAUUCCGGGGGGCAUGCCUGUUCGAGCGUCAUUACAACCCUCAAGCUCUGCUUGGAAUUGGGCACCGUCCUCACUGCGGACGCGCCUCAAAGACCUCGGCGGUGGCUGUUCAGCCCUCAAGCGUAGUAGAAUACACCUCGCUUUGGAGCGGUUGGCGUCGCCCGCCGGACGAACCUUCUGAACUUUUCUCAAGGUUGACCUCGGAUCAGGUAGGGAUACCACGCUGAACUUAAGCAUAUCAAAAGCCGGAGGAA